rnacentral:rRNA from 1 species
GGGUUGUGAGGUUAAGCGACUAAGCGUACACGGUGGAUGCCCUGGCAGUCAGAGGCGAUGAAGGACGUGCUAAUCUGCGAAAAGCGUCGGUAAGGUGAUAUGAACCGUUAUAACCGGCGAUGUCCGAAUGGGGAAACCCAGUGUGAUUCGUCACACUAUCGUUAACUGAAUACAUAGGUUAACGAGGCGAACCGGGGGAACUGAAACAUCUAAGUACCCCGAGGAAAAGAAAUCAACCGAGAUUCCCCCAGUAGCGGCGAGCGAACGGGGAGCAGCCCAGAGUCUGAAUCAGCUUGUGUGUUAGUGGAACGGUCUGGAAAGUCCGACGGUACAGGGUGAUAGUCCCGUACACCAAAAUGCACAGGUUGUGAACUCGAAGAGUAGGGCGGGACACGUGGUAUCCUGUCUGAAUAUGGGGACCAUCCUCCAAGGCUAAAUACUCCUGACUGACCGAUAGUGAACCAGUACCGUGAGGGAAAGGCGAAAAGAACCCCGGCGAGGGGAGUGAAAAAGAACCUGAAACCGUGUACGUACAAGCAGUGGGAGCACCUUCGGGUGUGACUGCGUACCUUUUGUAUAAUGGGUCAGCGACUUAUAUUCUGUAGCAAGGUUAACCGUAUAGGGGAGCCGCAGGGAAACCGAGUCUUAACUGGGCGUUAAGUUGCAGGGUAUAGACCCGAAACCCGGUGAUCUAGCCAUGGGCAGGUUGAAGGUUGGGUAACACUAACUGGAGGACCGAACCGACUAAUGUUGAAAAAUUAGCGGAUGACUUGUGGCUGGGGGUGAAAGGCCAAUCAAACCGGGAGAUAGCUGGUUCUCCCCGAAAGCUAUUUAGGUAGCGCCUCGUGAACUCAUCUUCGGGGGUAGAGCACUGUUUCGGCUAGGGGGUCAUCCCGACUUACCAACCCGAUGCAAACUACGAAUACCGAAGAAUGUUAUCACGGGAGACACACGGCGGGUGCUAACGUCCGUCGUGAAGAGGGAAACAACCCAGACCGCCAGCUAAGGUCCCAAAGUCAUGGUUAAGUGGGAAACGAUGUGGGAAGGCACAGACAGCCGGAUGUUGGCUUAGAAGCAGCCAUCAUUUAAAGAAAGCGUAAUAGCUCACUGGUCGAGUCGGCCUGCGCGGAAGAUGUAACGGGGCUAAACCAUGCACCGAAGCUGCGGCAGCGACACUAUGUGUUGUUGGGUAGGGGAGCGUUCUGUAAGCCUGCGAAGGUGUGCUGUGAGGCAUGCUGGAGGUAUCAGAAGUGCGAAUGCUGACAUAAGUAACGAUAAAGCGGGUGAAAAGCCCGCUCGCCGGAAGACCAAGGGUUCCUGUCCAACGUUAAUCGGGGCAGGGUGAGUCGACCCCUAAGGCGAGGCCGAAAGGCGUAGUCGAUGGGAAACAGGUUAAUAUUCCUGUACUUGGUGUUACUGCGAAGGGGGGACGGAGAAGGCUAUGUUAGCCGGGCGACGGUUGUCCCGGUUUAAGCAUGUAGGCUGGUUGUCCAGGCAAAUCCGGAUAAUCAAGGCUGAGGUGUGAUGACGAGGCACUACGGUGCUGAAGUAACAAAUGCCCUGCUUCCGUGAAAAGCCUCUAAGCAUCAGGUAACAUCAAAUCGUACCCCAAACCGACACAGGUGGUCAGGUAGAGAAUACCAAGGCGCUUGAGAGAACUCGGGUGAAGGAACUAGGCAAAAUGGUGCCGUAACUUCGGGAGAAGGCACGCUGGUGUGUAGGUGAAGCCCCUGCGGGUGGAGCUGAGACCAGUCGAAGAUACCAGCUGGCUGCAACUGUUUAUUAAAAACACAGCACUGUGCAAACACGAAAGUGGACGUAUACGGUGUGACGCCUGCCCGGUGCCGGAAGGUUAAUUGAUGGGGUUAUCCGUAAGGAGAAGCUCUUGAUCGAAGCCCCGGUAAACGGCGGCCGUAACUAUAACGGUCCUAAGGUAGCGAAAUUCCUUGUCGGGUAAGUUCCGACCUGCACGAAUGGCGUAAUGAUGGCCAGGCUGUCUCCACCCGAGACUCAGUGAAAUUGAACUCGCUGUGAAGAUGCAGUGUACCCGCGGCAAGACGGAAAGACCCCGUGAACCUUUACUAUAGCUUGACACUGAACAUUGAGCCUUGAUGUGUAGGAUAGGUGGGAGGCUUUGAAGCGUGGACGCCAGUCUGCGUGGAGCCAACCUUGAAAUACCACCCUUUAAUGUUUGAUGUUCUAACGUUGGCCCCUUACCGGGGUUGCGGACAGUGUCUGGUGGGUAGUUUGACUGGGGCGGUCUCCUCCCAAAGCGUAACGGAGGAGCACGAAGGUUAGCUAAUCCUGGUCGGACAUCAGGAGGUUAGUGCAAUGGCAUAAGCUAGCUUGACUGCGAGCGUGACGGCGCGAGCAGGUGCGAAAGCAGGUCAUAGUGAUCCGGUGGUUCUGAAUGGAAGGGCCAUCGCUCAACGGAUAAAAGGUACUCCGGGGAUAACAGGCUGAUACCGCCCAAGAGUUCAUAUCGACGGCGGUGUUUGGCACCUCGAUGUCGGCUCAUCACAUCCUGGGGCUGAAGUAGGUCCCAAGGGUAUGGCUGUUCGCCAUUUAAAGUGGUACGCGAGCUGGGUUUAGAACGUCGUGAGACAGUUCGGUCCCUAUCUGCCGUGGGCGCUGGAGAAUUGAGGGGGGCUGCUCCUAGUACGAGAGGACCGGAGUGGACGCAUCACUGGUGUUCGGGUUGUCAUGCCAAUGGCACUGCCCGGUAGCUAAAUGCGGAAGAGAUAAGUGCUGAAAGCAUCUAAGCACGAAACUUGCCCCGAGAUGAGUUCUCCCUGAGACUUUAAGUCUCCUGAAGGAACGUUAAAGACGAUGACGUUGAUAGGCCGGGUGUGUAAGCGCAGCGAUGCGUUGAGCUAACCGGUACUAAUGAACCGUGAGGCUUAACCUUACAACGCCGAAG